GGAGGCAUGGCUCAAAUGUAGAGUGCUCGUCUGGUAGGCACGAACCCUGAGUUCAAAACCCAGUACCACCA
rnacentral:tRNA from 1 species